GACAAUACAGGGGAGUAAUGCAGGUGAAAACUCUAGUGAUGAAAACAUUAACCAAAUUGUGGGGGGGGGGGGGACUGUUAUUUGUCAGAAACAAUGAUUGCUUAAAAGUAACAUUGGCUUAUGAUAGGGUCCCAAGGAAAUAUGGUGGUGCAGCAGUCUCAUUGGACGAUUCACAUCGACAAUAAAUUAAUAAUAAGCAAAACUCUGGAAGGAGACUCAAGAUUAUAUUGUAAAUUGUUGUUGGUCCGAUUACUUCUACCAAAGAUGACAGCAUCAAAGGGAAGCUGAUGACCCAUUGAAAGAUUGCAGUCCUUUGUUGUCGGACAUUCGCUACAUAAGCCGCCAAAUCAAUUUCGAUCACGAACAUGGAUCACACCUUAUGUUUACAUAGGCUGUUCAACACUACUCACUCGCAUAAGAACUCGGCCAACUA
rnacentral:lncRNA from 1 species